UACAGAGGUCUCAAGCGUUGUCCGGAAUCAUUGGGCGUAAAGGGCGCGUAGGUGGCCCGGUCAGUUCGUGGUGAAAGCGCGGGGCUCAACUCCGCGUCGGCCAUGAAUACUGCUGGGCUUGAGCACUGUAGAGGCAGGCGGAAUUCCGGGUGUAGCGGUGGAAUGCGUAGAGAUCCGGAAGAACACCGGUGGCGAAGGCGGAUCUCUGGGCCAUAACUGACGCUGAGGAGCGAAAGCAUGGGGAGCGAACAGG
rnacentral:rRNA from 1 species